rnacentral:rRNA from 1 species
AGCGAACGCUGGCGGCAGGCCUAACACAUGCAAGUUGAACGAAGUCUUCGGACUUAGUGGCGGACGGGUGAGUAACACGUGGGAACGUGCCUUUAGGUUCGGAAUAACUCAGGGAAACUUGUGCUAAUACCGAAUGUGCCCUUCGGGGGAAAGAUUUAUCGCCUUUAGAGCGGCCCGUGUCUGAUUAGCUAGUUGGUGAGGUAAAGGCUCACCAAGGCGACGAUCAGUAGCUGGUCUGAGAGGAAGAUCAGCCACAUUGGGACUGAGACACGGCCCAAACUCCUACGGGAGGCAGCAGUGGGGAAUCUUGCGCAAUGGGCGAAAGCCUGACGCAGCCAUGCCGCGUGAAUGAUGAAGGUCUUAGGAUUGUAAAAUUCUUUCACCGGGGACGAUAAUGACGGUACCCGGAGAAGAAGCCCCGGCUAACUUCGUGCCAGCCGCCGCCGUAAUAC